GCAGUAGCUCAGUGGUAGAGCUAUCGGCUGUUAACCGAUCGGUCGUAGGUUCGAGUCCUACAAGGUCCACCA
rnacentral:tRNA from 2 species